rnacentral:misc_RNA from 1 species
UUCUUCUUGUCGUCGCUUGUCGCUUUUGACGGUGAUGGAUGAGGUGGUCGAGUGUCCCGUUUGGGUACUUGGAAAUGCAUGGCCGGUGGCGCGUAUGUGAAUGACGUGGUCUCCAAGUGCGCGCCGAUGGUUCGUGGGUGUGGAUUGGCCGUGGUUUAGGGUUUUGGGUGUGCUCUGGCUCUGGCUCUGGCUCUGACUAGAGUGGGCUCUGACUCCAAGACCAAGACCAAGACCAACACCCAAAACACA